AAUUGAAGAGUUUGAUCCUGGCUCAGAUUGAACGCUGGCGGCAUGGCUAAAACAUGCAAGUCGAACGAUUAAAGCUUCUUCGGAAGUAUAUAAAGUGGCGUAAGGGCGAGGAAUAUAUUUCUAUGUACCCCUAAGUCAAGGAUAGCCCAGGGAAACUUGGAGUAAUACUUGAUGUGGUCUCCGGAUCAAAGAUUUAUCGCUUAGGGAGCAGGGAAUAUCCUAUGAGGUUGUUGGUGAGGUAACGGCUCACCAAGCCAAAG
rnacentral:rRNA from 1 species